GGAGCACAGGAAAUUUAAACUGUCGAAGCAAGAAAUAAAAAUAAUACCUACAACCCUUAAAUAUAGCACUUUACAUUUUGUGAAGUGUUUCAGAGCCAUUUUCUCCUUGACACUACCUCCUCACUCCAUUUUUCCUUGGCCGCCGCUUAUCAUCUCUGGGUGCUGAAGUCUCUUGAUGUGAACAGAAUGGAGAACACUUUGGUCUUUACCUCUCACCUCUACACCUUUUGUUUCCCAGGAACAGAGGCCACAAAAGAGCUGUAAGAGCAGAGUGAAGCAGGCUCAUCCUGGUAAUUUGUAGUUUUGCAGAUAAAGAACACUUUCCUCAGCACAUGUGCAGUGGAUCCUGACACCAGAGCUUCAAAGAGGUCCCAAUUGGAGAGAAAAUGAGGAAAAGGAGGAACAGAUGGGACUAAAAGCAGAAGGCACCUGAUGAAAGAGAAAAAGCAAGGCUGGGGGAAGGGUGUUUAGAGAAGGACUGGGAGAACAAAAGCAAAGAAUCUGAAAUGAGAGCAUGCUUUCUUCCGUUCCCAUGAACUUCAGAAUGAGCCACAUCUUUACUCAAAGCCUCCUCUGCUAUUUAUAUGUGUGACCUUAGAUUAUAUGAACCUCUGGACUCUGGAGUAAGCAUGGCUCUAAUGCUCUGGAGGACACAUCCUUAUUCUCCAAGAUCUCUAUCAAGUCAUUUAGAGAGAAACAGAAGUGGCUGGUUAUGAAAACCGGCAGCACAGCUUUUUCCCUCCCUGUGGUGUCUUCCCAGAUAAGAAAGCAGGCCUGAAUCCCGGGUGCUGUUCUUCCAGACCACAUGAAAGAUUCUGCAUAUCUGUUACAUUCUAAGGCCACUUCACAACACUACCAAACCCAGCUUUACAGUUUGGAAGACUGAGAGAAUCAUACCCAAAGCCACAAACAUCCAAAUAUGGUGUUCUUCACAAGAAACUAAUAAUGAACUUGAGACAGAGUCUGCAGGGAUAGGUAUCAGAAGUCAAGUCUAAAGUAUAUGAGGUCUAUGUUCAAACAGGAGCCUGGACAUGACUGAGAUAAAGAAUGAUUCCCGAGCUGGGCACACUGGCUUAUGCCUAUAAUUCCAGUGACUCAGAAGGCUGAGGCAAGAGGAUUGCUUGAGGCCAAGAGUCUGAGGCUCUAUUGAGCUAUGAUUGCACCACUACUGUCCAACCUGGGGGACACAGCAAGAGCUUGUCUCUUAAAAAAGAAAAAAAAAGAUUGAGUCCAGAGUUAGAGCUACAGGAUAAAAAUAAGUUAACUGAACUCAGGGGGAGAAAGGAGGGGAACCUACUCCAAAUUCUAGCUCAGGUCUUACCUAAAUGUGGGCUGGCUCAGCUCCCAAGUGGCUGAGUGAGGUCAUGACUGAGAAGAAAGGACCCCUGGCCCAAGUCGUGAGUUGAAUGACUCUUAGGUUGAGAAGCUUUCGUACCUAAGAAUCAAGUGGCCAGUGGUGCACCAUGGGAGAGAUGAUCACCAAACUUUUCUUCUCUUUGAGGUCACACACCUAGAUUACCUGCCCCAGUCUCCCUUGCAGUUAGAUCUGGCUGUGAGGUUGAGUUUUAGCCAGUGGGAUAAAGAUGGAAGUUUCCACUGGCCUAACCCAUAAAUUCCUCCACAACUCUUCCCACUUUUAAUCUUAUGCCCCCAUGUCGUCUCUUCUCCCAGCCUUCUUCGUCUCAAUAAAUGUCACUAGCACAUAUCCAGUCAUUCAAGGAAAAACACAAUGGAGAAAACCAUCCUCAACUACCCAUUCCCUUUACCUCACUCUUUCCCAGCAUCCUGCAAAAUCUCGCUCCAAAUAUAGCUCCAGUUUGUCCACUUCCCUCCCUUUUCUCCAGUCUAUAACCUUGGUUUACUCCAUCACUAUCUCUCAAUUAGACUAUUGAAAUAAAAUCCUACCUGGAAUUUAAACUCUUAACUGUCUCUCUGUUUCUAUUCUCAUCCUCCAAUAGCCUAUUCUAUAUACCAUGGCAGAAGGAUCUUUCAAAUCACUAAUCCAGUUUUGUCACUUCACUGCUUGAAACUUUCCAGGAGGCUUCCCUUCCUUCGUAAUUAAAUAAAAUUUGAACCCUGAAUGUGGCCUAAACCCUACACAUUUUGCCUCACCAACCUCUGUCACCGCAUCGCUUACCACUAACACCCUAGCUCACUGGGAUUUGUGCCACACCAAACUUCAAACACACCAAACGUAUUUCUGCCUUAUGAACUUUGAACUUGCUACUCCUUUUCACUCCCGGAACACUCCUGCCCCAGAUCUUUGCUGGUGCCUUUACAUCUUUCAAGUCUCAGUUUAAAUAUCACCUCUUCCAAGAGACAUCCUUUGACUACCAUAUAUCAAAUAUCCCCUAAGCUCAUUAUUCUUUGCCAUUGUACUCUGUUUUACUUUUGGAAUUAUUUGUUUUCUUGCAUGUUGUCAAUCUCCCUCACUGAAUCUUUAGCUUCAUAAGAGCAGGGACCUUACCUAACUUCUUUAUUUCACUGCUAUAUCCCCAACAGUAUAAUCUUGGUCAUCUCAUUCCCCUUUCUAACCCUUAUUUUCUCCAUUUUCAAGAUGAUGACUUGGGAUUCGGUGCUUACAGGAGACUGGCUCUUCACAUUCUUUGCAUCCACAGUUCCAAGGAGGCUUUAGAGCUCAAUACUUUCCAGCCAGUGACAUUUCUAAAUGCAUUUUCCAAAUGAAGUCAAUGCCCUCAGGCAGCCCAGUGGGGAGGUCAUGGAGAGCCAGUGAGAAGGAAGUCUGCAGGGAGCUCAUGCCAAAAUAUUUGCUGGAUGGCACUAAUGACCACCACCACAACAGACUGCGUAGGAGAAAACACUGAGAAAUUGAAAUGGGAGAAUUCCCUGACACCCCUUGCUGAACGUGAGACAGGGAUGUGACUCAUCUGUUCAGUAACCACUGCUCCUCAAACCCCUUAUGUGAGGGGAGCAUGCAGACA
rnacentral:lncRNA from 10 species